rnacentral:tRNA from 1 species
UCCCUGGUGGCUCAGUGGUAAAGAAUCUGUCUGCAGUGCAGGAGACCUGGGUUCAAUCCCUGGGCCGGGAA